rnacentral:rRNA from 1 species
CCUACGGGAGGCAGCAGUGGGGAAUAUUGGACAAUGGGGGAACCCUGAUCCAGCGACGCCGCGUGAGUGAAGAAGUAUUUCGGUAUGUAAAGCUCUAUCAGCAGGGAAGAAAAUGACGGUACCUGACUAAGAAGCCCCGGCGAACUACGUGCCAGCAGCCGCGGUAAUACGGAGGGGGCAAGCGUUAUCCGGAUUUACUGGGUGUAAAGGGAGCGUAGACGGUGCAGCAAGUCUGAUGUGAAAGGUCGGGGCCCAACCCCGGGACUGCAUUGGAAACUGUUGAACUGGAGUACAGGAGAGGUAAGCGGAAUUGCUAGUGUAGCGGUGAAAUGCGUAGAUAUUAGGAGGAACACCAGUGGCGAAGGCGGCUUACUGGACUGUAACUGACGUUGAGGCUCGAAAGCGUGGGGAGCAAACAGGAUUAGAUACCCCGGUAGUC